ensembl:lncRNA
AGCUUGACUGAGUGAGGACAGGUGAGUCACAUGAUGUGUUUGGAAGAAAAGUUGUUAGAGUCGUAGCAGAGCACCCUGCUCUGAAGAUCCCAAAGCCUAGAGCUCAGCAAGAUAGUCAUGGGGACAAGACAGGAAACCAGGAACCAGAACUGUAUAACUUGGAGCAAACUGGAUUUGGGAACUAAAAUGCAAUUUAAGCUAUCAAAAGAAAUGCAACAUCCAAGUCAAGCUAGCGGGCCCGGGACCCAAGAGAUGAGGCCACAUGGUGGUAUUGAGGGAAGUUACUUCAAGGAAGAAGGAGCGUGAUUUGAUACGCAACGUCACACUUCUGACACCCAGCACUCUGACUCUGCCUGAUACCUUCCCUCGCCCGAGUCCUGGCCUGCUCUGAAUUCCAGGGCCCAACCUGCCCCGUCUCAAGGGAGACAACGUGCCACUUCUGCCAACCUAACUCGCUAGGGUGCUGCUCUGCCCACAGGAGCAUGGUGUUUUGUGUUGUGAUGGAGAAACUAUCCCUCCUAACGUUCUCAAAAUCCCCUUCAACUGUCCAGCUCAACCCGCACAUCAAAAAGCCUGUUAAAAUCCUCAUUGCCCUACCCCCAGUCUCCACAUGCCCCCAAAGCCAGCUUGACUCAGCGUGAAUUCUGCACCACCCUCCACCCCCACUCAAAUGCGAGAGUGCUGCUGCUCCAAAAGUUACACCCUUUGAGGGGGUGGGUUUCCUAUGCCAGCAAAAUUUGUUGUAAAGGAACCUCAAGAAUCAUCUUGAAGCAGGGGACACAUGGCCUGGAGUCUACACCAGUUAGCCCCACCCAGCUGAUGAGAAAUUGGAGAAAGAAACCCGCCCAGCUCAGUCCUGUCAGCCAUGGGACCACCAUAUGGAAAUGAAUCCUCAUCUCCUUUCAGACCCAUAACAGUAACUUGGCUUCUAAAUUUAAGUGAUACACUGCUAAAGUUAACUUAGCCUAUAAGCUGUGCUUUGAAUUCAGGCUGCCUGCAUUUUAAAUCUAAGCUUCACCACUCACUAGCCUUGUUUUGUUUUCACUCUGAACAAGCCUCUGUGUUCUCAUCUUAAAAAGGGAAUCACAGCCUCCUCAGAGUUGGAGGGAAGAACCCUCAAUGAACAUCCUCAAAGCACUCGGGCCAGCCCAUGCUACAGAGGUAACGCUCAGUAGUUUAUGCACUGACGUUAUUCAUCAUCACCAAUGUCACAUCCCCUGCUAAGACAGGAAGGGUCAAGCCACAACCUUUAAAAGAAAGACAGCCAUUGUGGAGAUGACAUAAACUGGUUAGAAACAACUAGGUCCAAGAUGGAGAGUGAGUUGACCUCCAGAAGCUCUUGAGCAUCUUUAUACACUGCUUCUAACACAUCAGCUAAGUGACACACCCGCAGUUGCCAUGAGAGUUCCAAGGCUGACCAUAAUGGGUCAAAAAGUGGGUGGUGGUCCAAUUCCUGGAAGUCUCUGCCCCUUCCCCAAAAUAGUUUUAAUACUCCUCCCACGCAUUGGCCUAUGAAAUUACCCAGUCCUAUAAAACUGCCAGCCCCAUGCCCUGGUGCCUCUCUCGCCUCCUGAGAUGGCCUCACUCCGUUCGUGGAGUCUGUGUCCUCCUUAAACCGACCUUCUUUCACUUUCCUACGGCUCACUCUUGACCUCUGUCCUGUGUGAAGCCGAGAAUCCCCACUUGUCAGCCUGUCCCAGGGACUCGCCUGGGACCUGGGAUGCGAUCAUCCUCUCGUGCCCCUUUCACUAAUGGGCAAACACCUGAAAAAUCCCAAAGCAGGCUCUUCUGGGGUGUAUUCCACUUAGGGGUGCUGCCCUUGCACCAGAUCUGGGCACCUGUGAGUCCCCCUCCCUCAGCUCUGUCAUCCAGGCCACACUGCUCUCAGCUGAGCUUCUAAGAAAAUCGGACGGAGGGUCUUUCCUUUAGGACCAUGCCUCCAGAUGCGGUUACCCUCUGGUACCUGCUCAGUGCCGGCCCGUCUCUUCUGCUCGAGCUGAUUAGCCCAAUGCAUUACUCACCUACCUCCAAGGUGAGUGGGCGGCUGGGAUGAAAGACUGCUCCCUGAGUCUUCUGUUCCAAUGGAACUAAUUCUGUUCUGUGGUUUUUCUGACUGGGUUCAGAUCCCUCAGCUGAAUCCUGCUGGCCCUCGAGAGUAGAGAAGAUGGUCUCUCUGCACCUCAAAUUUAACUCAUUUCAGAGAAAUGUGAAGCCUCGUAACAGUCCCUCCUCCCCCACAAACGCCCCCACACACAAUACAGGCUUUUCCUCUCUAAUUCCUCAGCCCUUGUGGCAAAGAGAUAUUAAAAUAUUAAAUCUGUCUUAGAUAUCUUCUUCAUAAAAAAUUAAGGGAAAAUGUCUGUGUUAACAAUGUUUUAACAUGAAAUCAUAAACAAACUGCAGUAAUUGGAUAUUUUUCUCCUGAAGGUCAUAUGCCUCCACAAAAAUCACCAUGGCAAAUGUGCANNNNNNNNNNNNNNNNNNNNNNNNNNNNNNNNNNNNNNNNNNNNNNNNNNNNNNNNNNNNNNNNNNNNNNNNNNNNNNNNNNNNNNNNNNNNNNNNNNNAGGUCAUAUGCCUCCACAAAAAUCACCAUGGCAAAUGUGCAAUUUGUAAGAGUAAUCACACCUUACGUUCAGACACCAUGCUUUUUCGUGUUCAAAGAGCAUUCUUUAAACAUUAAUUAGUUACUCCACCAAGUAUCCUAGGAGGUGUGGAUUAAUAUCUGCUUAAUGCAGAUGGAGAUUCAAAGAAAGAGCAAGGCUGAGUCGGCCUCAUGUUACAGGAUGACUCUGAGACACGGAUUCUUAGUUAAACCCUCAUGAAUGGACCAGGAGUAAGCCACGAGUGCAGCUUAGAUUAAUGAUUAUUUAUUCUAAAUUUCUUAGAGUCAUUCUCUUCUUUGAUCUGCACGAACCCCCUAGAUAUGAGCAUGCGUGCUAAGUCCCUUCAGUUGUGUCCAACUCUUUGCGAUCCCAUGGACUGUAGCCUGCCAGG